rnacentral:rRNA from 1 species
CUACGGGGCGCUCCAGUGGGGAAUAUUGCACAAUGGGCGCAAGCCUGAUGCAGCCAUGCCGCGUGUAUGAAGAAGGCCUUCGGGUUGUAAAGUACUUUCAGCGGGGAGGAAGGGAGUAAAGUUAAUACCUUUGCUCAUUGACGUUACCCGCAGAAGAAGCACCGGCUAACUCCGUGCCAGCAGCCGCGGUAAUACGGAGGGUGCAAGCGUUAAUCGGAAUUACUGGGCGUAAAGCGCACGCAGGCGGUUUGUUAAGUCAGAUGUGAAAUCCCCGGGCUCAACCGGGGAACUGCAUCUGAUACUGGCAAGCUUGAGUCUCGUAGAGGGGGGUAGAAUUCCAGGUGUAGCGGUGAUAUGCGUAGAGAUCUGGAGGAAUACCGGUGGCGAAGGCGGCCCCCUGGACGAAGACUGACGCUCAGGUGCGAAAGCGUGGGGAGCAAACAGGAUUAGAUACCCGCGUAGUC